rnacentral:rRNA from 1 species
UACAGAGGUCUCAAGCGUUGUUCGGAUUCAUUGGGCGUAAAGGGUGCGUAGGCGGCGCGGUAAGUCGGGUGUGAAAUCUCGGAGCUUAACUUCGAAACUGCAUUCGAUACUGCCGUGCUUGAGGACUGGAGAGGAGACUGGAAUUUACGGUGUAGCGGUGAAAUGCGUAGAUAUCGUAAGGAAGACCAGUGGCGAAGGCGAGUCUCUGGACAGUUACUGACGCUGAGGCACGAAGGCCAGGGGAGCAAACGGG